rnacentral:rRNA from 1 species
UACAGAGGUCCCAAGCGUUGUUCGGAUUCAUUGGGCGUAAAGGGUGCGUAGGCGGCGCGGUAAGUCGGGUGUGAAAUCUCGGAGCUUAACUCCGAAACUGCAUCGAUACUGCCGUGCUUGAGGACUGGAGAGGAGACUGGAAUUUACGGUGUAGCGGUGAAAUGCGUAGAUAUCGUAAGGAAGACCAGUGGCGAAGGCGGGUCUCUGGACAGUUCCUGACGCUGAGGCACGAAGGCCAGGGGAGCAAACGGG